rnacentral:rRNA from 1 species
AGUGAACGCUGGCGGUAGGCCUAACACAUGCAAGUCGAACGGCAGCACAGUAAGAGCUUGCUCUUACGGGUGGCGAGUGGCGGACGGGUGAGGAAUACAUCGGAAUCUACUUUUUCGUGGGGGAUAACGUAGGGAAACUUACGCUAAUACCGCAUACGACCUACGGGUGAAAGCAGGGGAUCUUCGGACCUUGCGCGAUUGAAUGGGCCGAUGUCGGAUUAGCUAGUUGGCGGGGUAAAGGCCCACCAAGGCGACGAUCCGUAGCUGGUCUGAGAGGAUGAUCAGCCACACUGGAACUGAGACACGGUCCAGACUCCUACGGGAGGCAGCAGUGGGGAAUAUUGGACAAUGGGCGCAAGCCUGAUCCAGCCAUACCGCGUGGGUGAAGAAGGCCUUCGGGUUGUAAAGCCCUUUUGUUGAGAAAGAAAAGCAGCAGGUUAAUACCCCGCUGUUCUGACGGUACCCAAAGAAUAAGCACCGGCUAACUUCGUG